rnacentral:rRNA from 1 species
UGAGGAAUAUUGGUCAAUGGGCGAGAGCCUGAACCAGCCAAGUAGCGUGCAGGAUGACGGCCCUAUGGGUUGUAAACUGCUUUUAUGUGGGGAUAAAGUGCGUGACGUGUCAUGCAUUGCAGGUACCACAUGAAUAAGGACCGGCUAAUUCCGUGCCAGCAGCCGCGGUAAUACGGAAGGUCCGGGCGUUAUCCGGAUUUAUUGGGUUUAAAGGGGGCGUAGGCUGUCUAUUAAGCGUGUUGUGAAAUAUACCGGCUCAACCGGUGGCUUGCAGCGCGAACUGGUCGACUUGAGUAUGCAGGAAGUAGGCGGAAUUCAUGGUGUAGCGGUGAAAUGCUUAGAUAUCAUGACGAACUCCGAUUGCGCAGGCAGCUUACUGUAGCAUAACUGACGCUGAUGCUCGAAAGUGCGGGUAUCAAACAGG